UACGGGGGGAGCAAGCGUUGUUCGGAUUUACUGGGCGUAAAGGGCGCGUAGGCGGCCACCGCAAGUCGGUUGUGAAAUCUCUGGGCUUAACCCAGAAAGGUCAACCGAUACUGCGGGGCUAGAGUGCAGAAGGGGCAACUGGAAUUCUCGGUGUAGCGGUGAAAUGCGUAGAUAUCGAGAGGAACACCUGCGGCGAAGGCGGGUUGCUGGGCCGACACUGACGCUGAGGCGCGAAAGCCAGGGGAGCGAACGGG
rnacentral:rRNA from 1 species